rnacentral:rRNA from 1 species
AAUGGGCGCAAGCCUGAUCCAGCCAUGCCGCGUGAGUGAUGAAGGCCCUAGGGUCGUAAAGCUCUUUCGCCAGAGAUGAUAAUGACAGUAUCUGGUAAAGAAACCCCGGCUAACUCCGUGCCAGCAGCCGCGGUAAUACGGAGGGGGUUAGCGUUGUUCGGAAUUACUGGGCGUAAAGCGCACGUAGGCGGAUCAGAAAGUAUAGGGUGAAAUCCCAGGGCUCAACCCUGGAACUGCCUUAUAAACUCCUGGUCUUGAGUUCGAGAGAGGUGAGUGGAAUUCCGAGUGUAGAGGUGAAAUUCGUAGAUAUUCGGAGGAACACCAGUGGCGAAGGCGGCUCACUGGCUCGAUACUGACGCUGAGGUGCGAAAGUGUGGGGAGCAAACAGGAUU